GACGAACCGUGCGAACGUUAUUCGGAAUCACUGGGCUUAAAGGGCGCGUAGGCGGGCCGCCCAGUCAGGGGUGAAAUCCCCGGGCUCAACCCGGGAACUGCGUCCGAUACUGGAAGGCUUGAAUCCGGGAGAGGGAUGCGGAAUUCCAGGUGUAGCGGUGAAAUGCGUAGAUAUCUGGAGGAACACCGGUGGCGAAGGCGGCAUCCUGGACCGGCAUUGACGCUGAGGCGCGAAAGCCAGGGGAGCAAACGGG
rnacentral:rRNA from 1 species